rnacentral:rRNA from 1 species
GACGAACCGUACAAACGUUAUUCGGAAUUACUGGGCUUAAAGGGUGCGUAGGCGGCGGUGCAAGUUGGGUGUGAAAUCCCUCGGCUCAACCGAGGAACUGCGCUCAAAACUGCAUUGCUUGAGGGAGAUAGAGGUGAGUGGAACUUAGGGUGGAGCGGUGAAAUGCGUUGAUAUCCUAAGGAACACCAGUGGCGAAAGCGGCGCACUGGACCACAACUGACGCUGAGGCGCGAAAGCUAGGGGAGCAAACAGG